rnacentral:rRNA from 1 species
GACGUAGGGCGCGAGCGUUGUCCGGAUUUAUUGGGCGUAAAGAGCUCGUAGGCGGUUCGUCGCGUCGGCUGUGAAAUCCCGAGGCUCAACCUCGGGUCUGCAGUCGAUACGGGCGGACUGGAGUUCGGCAGGGGAGACUGGAAUUCCAGGUGUAGCGGUGAAAUGCGUAGAUAUCUGGAGGAAUACCGGUGGCGAAGGCGGCAUCCUGGACCGACAUUGACGCUGAUGAGCGAAAGCUAGGGGAGCAAACGGG